AUGAGUGGCGAACGGGUGAGUAACACGUGGGUAACCUACCUCGCACUUUGGGAUAAGCCUGGGAAACUGGGCCUAAUACCAAAUAUGACUUACCACCUCAUGGCGGUAAGUGGAAAGUUCCGGCGGUGCGAGAUGGACCCGCGGCCUAUCAGCUUGUUGGUGGGGUAAUGGCCUACCAAGGCGACAACGGGUAGCCGGCCUGAGAGGGUGUACGGCCACACUGGGACUGAGAUACGGCCCAG
rnacentral:rRNA from 1 species